GACGAACGCUGGCGGCGUGCUUAACACAUGCAAGUCGAACGGAAAGGCCCUGCUUUUGUGGGGUGCUCGAGUGGCGAACGGGUGAGUAACACGUGAGUAACCUGCCCUUGACUUUGGGAUAACUUCAGGAAACUGGGGCUAAUACCGGAUAGGAGCUCCUGCUGCAUGGUGGGGGUUGGAAAGUUUCGGCGGUUGGGGAUGGACUCGCGGCUUAUCAGCUUGUUGGUGGGGUAGUGGCUUACCAAGGCUUUGACGGGUAGCCGGCCUGAGAGGGUGACCGGCGACAUUGGGACUGAGAUACGGCCCAGACUCCUACAGGAGGCAGCAGUGGGGAAUAUUGCACAAUGGGCGGAAGCCUGAUGCAGCAACGCCGCGUGCGGGAUGACGGCCUUCGGGUUGUAAACCGCUUUCGCCUGUGACGAAGCGUGAGUGACGGUAAUGGGUAAAGAAGCACCGGCUAACUACGUG
rnacentral:rRNA from 1 species